AGUGAACGCUGGCGGUAGGCCUAACACAUGCAAGUCGAACGGCAGCACAGUAAGAGCUUGCUCUUACGGGUGGCGAGUGGCGGACGGGUGCGGAAUACAUCGGAAUCUACUUUUUCGUGGGGGAUAACGUAGGGAAACUUACGCUAAUACCGCAUACGACCUACGGGUGAAAGCAGGGGAUCUUCGGACCUUGCGCGAUUGAAUGAGCCGCUGUCGGAUUAGCUAGUUGGCGGGGUAAAGGCCCACCAAGGCGACGAUCCGUAGCUGGUCUGAGAGGAUGAUCAGCCACACUGGAACUGAGACACGGUCCAGACUCCUACGGGAGGCAGCAGUAGGGAAUAUUGGACAAUGGGCGCAAGCCUGAUCCAGCCAUACCGCGUGUGUGAAGAAGGCCUUCGGGUUGUAAAGCCCUUUUAUUAGGAAAGAAAAGCAGCAUGUUAAUACCCCGCUGUUCUGACGGUACCCAAAGAAUAAGCACCGGCUAACUUCGUG
rnacentral:rRNA from 1 species